ACACCCACACCAGGCCACAACAAUGGCCGCCGCCAAUGUCUCAGUCCCUGGAGAGGUCUCACCCCUCACCGAGAUGCACUCAGAGCCUAUCAGUUCUCCCAGGGCCUAUAUCUUUUCAUCUCUGCACAGCCUGACACCUCCAUUUGGCACACCACGGCUAGGUACCAGCAUCAAGCUCCAUGGAGUCACACUUUAGUUGCAAAGGCUGGAAUGAAUUUCUGCCCAUGCCCUGUCCCUAGGGCAAACGUUCUUAAUUCCCUUUGAUUGAUGGAAAGAGCAGGAAGACUAUUGAGUGAUCUGAUCAAGGAGAUAGAGGACCAGCUAUCAAUUCUCAUCUAAGUAUGCUGACAAUGAAGCCAGGUUCGAGCUGAAGAGUGGUAAAAAUCUUUUCACAGACUGGUGUGUGGACACAACUAGAGGAGCUCAGAGUUAUGUAAUGGAGGAAAUAUGGACUGAAAUCAUGUGGACUUGGGGCCAAGCAAAAUCUCCUGCAAGCUGAAGGUUUGGAGAAGCAGAGAAGCUUCUCAGUCUACAAAGAGAAGAGUGGAGAAGUCAAAGUCCAUGGGAUCCAUUUAGAGACAGACAAGCAGCCUCAGUUCUAGACCUUCACCUCUCAGUCCCUGGGAGAGGCUGCUGUCAAUGAAAUUGCCUGCUUGGCAUAACCUAUUUUGAGUGGAGUUCUGUUUUGUGCAAUGAAAGGAUCCCAUGGCUAAGAUAAGAGAUUACAUUAAUACACCCCCUCAAGAAGGCAGAUUUAGAGUGAAUUUCUAAGCCUCUUCCAUUCACAGCUGGCUGCCCAGGUCCAGCUACAAGUGAUCCAGAUGUGGACUGCUUGCAGAAGACAAGGGUCAAAGUACUAUUAGCCUGGAAAUUUACUUGGAUCUGUUUCUUUUUUACAACACUACCAGGAGAUUGUGAUGCUCUAUGCCUUUGUGUACACUUGCAUAUAGGACUAUCCUGAUUCAUUCGGAAUAUUUUCGAGAGAGAAGCAAGAAGCUGUGAGAUUGAAGGGUAACAAGAGAGUGGAAGACCAAUGAUCUUCUUCAAAUCAUGUUGCAAGUCUUGUGAGUGCUUACUGUGUCUCACAUAAGAGAGGGAUUUCCACGCCAGCAGCUCUGGCCAAGCCCAAUGUCAUUGAUUAAUAGGCAUGACCAAUGGCUGCUGCAAAAAAAGAUGAUGAAAAUGUGACUGCUGGUAUUAGCUGGAAUUUCCUCAGCGAAGGUCAAGAUGAAUCCACCUGGAAUUGCCUGGAUCAGGGAAAUUAGGCUAUUCUUUGGCUUAACUACUCUCCUUCCACAAACACUUUUUGUAGACUUUUUGUUGUUGACGUCUUUGCUCACUAAUGGAACUUGAUUCACCUUGCCUUCACAUAUGUGGGUGUUUGGUGUUUGCUGAUGAGCAUUUAAGAUGAUGUUUAUAUAUUCUGGUUUUGCACAGAUGUGUCUAGGGAUUUAAAACAUGGAGAUUUCAUUAUGCCUGUCUUAAUGACUAGAUAUUUAUUGACUAGAUUAAUUAACAUAUUAUGUAUUCUCAGGCACAAAUAUCUCCAUUGUCAAUGAUUUAGUAAUUUCAUGGGAGACAUUGGAGUCUUUCAUUAGGGUACAUCAUUACCCUUCUGGAACACAAAAAUGAUUCUAAACUAUUAUUUCUGGAAAACCACACUAAAUUAGAGCACAUACAUAAAAAGACUUAGGGGGAAAUCAUGACUAGUUCAUUUCUAUGUAACUCCCCAAAUCUCACAGCAUGUGUAGAAGGCAACAAUAUUGGUUAACUCAAAGCCCUCACCUCUGACAGUAAUGGAACAUGCCAAUAAAUCUGUACUUUAGGAGGUGAAAAGAAAACAGAAACCAUUAGGACCAUAAUUAUGAGAAUCAGCAAAAGAGAGUUCAGCUAGGCUUAAACAACAGAUUUCAACUCAUACCCUGGUUUAAUUCCCAUCUGAAUUCAUUAUACAUCAAACAGCAUCUCUGUAUCUCAUAAAAUUCUCAAAUCUUUCCCUUGGAGAGCAGGAGCCAAUAUCAUUUCUGACCUGUUGACUGACAGAUAUCCACCCCAGGCUGACCAUAGUUCAUUAAAAACAAUAGAUGUGUUUUUCUUUAUGUCAUCACUUUAUUGAACCCCAAGUGUUCAUUGAUAGUUCUAAGGCUAGAAGGUUAAAUUGCUGAUAUUGCAGAAGUUAUCUAACUUUUUUGAAAGUUUUUCUUCAUGACCUCAGGUUUGACUCUUUGAGGUAAACCUCAGGCAUGGGCAUUUUUAGCACAUUCUGCUUUUGAGAAGCAGGCUGCUAAAACUGCUGCUCGCAAAACAUCACACUCAGAUUGCUUACCGCCACCACCCCUUCAGUUGUUGCCAAUAGACAGGUUUUAAUGUGUCAGUUCACAAAGCUCUCAGGAAGCUGCCGUCACUUUUCAUUUUUGUCACUGUGAAGUUAGCGGAUGUGCUCAGCAUCAUCUGCCCUUUGUGGUACGGGACAUGAGCUUUAUAUAAGCUGGCAUGAUACAUGUGGCAAACUGUCUAAGGAUUUGGGAAAUUAAAAAUAUACAUUUUGAUGCUUCCAAUGUGCCUCACCUAAGGGCUCCCAUUCUCCUGAUUCCAUUCCAGGUCAGAGCCUUGAAUCUUUUCCCUUCUGCUUCUUCCUUUAUGUUGAAGCAUGGGGACAAUGACACAGCAUCCAAGAAAAA